GAUGAACGCUGACAGAAUGCUUAACACAUGCAAGUCAACAUGAACUUCGGUUUGGGUGGCGGACGGGUGAGUAACGCGUAAAGAACUUGCCUCACAGCUAGGGACAACAUUUGGAAACGAAUGCUAAUACCUGAUAUUAUGAUUAUAUGGCAUCGUAUAAUUAUGAAAGCUAUAUGCGCUGUGAGAGAGCUUUGCGUCCCAUUAGCUAGUUGGAGAGGUAACAGCUCACCAAGGCGAUGAUGGGUAGCCGGCCUGAGAGGGUGAUCGGCCACAAGGGGACUGAGACACGGCCCUUACUCCUACGGGAGGCAGCAGUGGGGAAUAUUGGACAAUGGACCGAGAGUCUGAUCCAGCAAUUCUGUGUGCACGAUGAAGUUUUUCGGAAUGUAAAGUGCUUUCAGUUGGGAAGAAAAAAAUGACGGUACCAACAGAAGAAGUGACGGCUAAAUACGU
rnacentral:rRNA from 1 species